UCACAAAUGUCUACAGGACCCAUCCACAAGC
rnacentral:piRNA from 2 species